UGGGGAAUAUUGGACAAUGGGGGAAACCCUGAUCCAGCGACGCCGCGUGUGUGAAGAAGGCCUGCGGGUUGUAAAGCACUUUUAGUGGGGAUGAAAUGUGCAGGGUUAAUACCUCUGCAUUUUGACCUAACCCACAGAAAAAGCACCGGCUAACUCUGUGCCAGCAGCCGCGGUAAUACAGAGGGUGCAAGCGUUAAUCGGAAUUACUGGGCGUAAAGCGUGCGUAGACGGUUACAUAAGUCGGGUGUGAAAGCCCCGGGCUCAACCUGGGAAUUGCAUUCGAGACUGCGUAGCUAGGGUGCGGAAGAGGGAAGCGGAAUUUCCCGGUGUAGCGGUGAAAUGCGUAGAUAUCGGAAGGAACACCAGUGGCGAAAGCGGCUUCCUGGUCCAGCACCGACGUUCAGGCACGAAAGCGUGGGGAGCA
rnacentral:rRNA from 1 species